UACGUAGGUGGCGAGCGUUGUCCGGAUUUACUCGGCGUAAAGGGAGCGUAGGCGGAUUUUUAAGUGAGAUGUGAAAUACUCGGGCUCAACUUGAGUGCUGCAUUUCAAACUGGAAGUCUAGAGUGCAGGAGAGGAGAAUGGAAUUCCUAGUGUAGCGGUGAAAUGCGUAGAGAUUAGGAAGAACACCAGUGGCGAAGGCGAUUCUCUGGACUGUAACUGACGCUGAGGCUCGAAAGCGUGGGGAGCAAACAGG
rnacentral:rRNA from 1 species